UGCGUAGGCGGUUGCCUAAGUUUGGUGUGAAAUCUCCCGGCUUAACUGGGAGGGUGCGCUGAAGACUGGGCGACUUGAGUAUGGGAGAGGAAAGCGGAAUUCCUGGUGUAGCGGUGAAAUGCGUAGAUAUAGGAAGGAACACCAGUGGCGAAGGCGACCACCUGGACUGAUACUGACACUGAGGUGCGAAAGCGUGGGGAGCAAACA
rnacentral:rRNA from 1 species